GAUGAACGCUAGCUACAGGCUUAACACAUGCAAGUCGAGGGGAAACGAUAUUGGAAGCUUGCUUCCGAUAGGCGUCGACCGGCGCACGGGUGAGUAACGCGUAUCCAACCUGCCCACCACUUGGGGAUAACCUUGCGAAAGUAAGACUAAUACCCAAUGACGUCCAUAGAAGACAUCUGAAAUGGAUUAAAGAUUUAUCGGUGAUGGAUGGGGAUGCGUCUGAUUAGCUUGUUGGCGGGGUAACGGCCCACCAAGGCGACGAUCAGUAGGGGGACUGAGAGGAAGGUCCCCCACAUUGGAACUGGGACACGGUUCAAACUCCUACGGGAGGCAGCAGUGAGGAAGAUUGGUCAAUGGGCGAGAGCCUGAACCAGCCAAGUAGCGUGCAGGAUGACGGCCCUAUGGGUUGUAAACUGCUUUUAUAAGGGAAUAAAGUGAGCCUCGUGAGGCUUUUUGCAUGUACCUUAUGAAUAAGGACCGGCUAAUUCCGUGCCAGCAGCCGCCGUAA
rnacentral:rRNA from 1 species